GAUGAACGCUGGCGGCGUGCCUAAUACAUGCAAGUAGAACGCUGAAGGAGGAGCUUGCUCUUCUGGAUGAGUUGCGAACGGGUGAGUAACGCGUAGGUAACCUGCCUGGUAGCGGGGGAUAACUAUUGGAAACGAUAGCUAAUACCGCAUGACAACAGUUAUUGCAUGAUAACUGUUUAAAAGGGGCAACUGCUCCACUACCAGAUGGACCUGCGUUGUAUUAGCUAGUUGGUGAGGUAACGGCUCACCAAGGCGACGAUACAUAGCCGACCUGAGAGGGGGAGCGGCCAAACUGGGAGGGAGACACGGCCCAGAGGCCUACGGAGAGGAGCAGUAGGGAAUCUGGGGCAAGGGACGGAAGUCUGACCGAGCAACGCCGCGUGAGUGAAGAAUGUUGUCGGAUCGGAAAGCUCGGUUGUAAGAGAAGAACGAGUGUGAGAGUGGAAAGUUCACACUGUGACGGUAGCUGACCAGAAAGGGACGGCUAACUACGUG
rnacentral:rRNA from 1 species